UGGACGCUCAUUAAUGACAUCAAACUCAGAAGCGAAUGCAUUACCACUAAGCAAAAGUGGGCUGAAGUUGAGUGCUAAAGUGAUAGCUAAAGCUGCAAGACCCUGUUGAGCAUGAGUGAGUAAGGUUGUGCAUGAAGGAAGGGUUGGUGGUUUUAGUGAUAAAGUUUGAGUCUUUUUGAGAUUAGAAACAAUGGGUUUGUAGGAAAUGAGAGAAGUUGAUUUGGGUUGGAGGGAAGGUGAAGAUUUGAGGUUGAGGAGUGGUGAGAGAGAGUUGGGAGGAAAAAGGGUUGUCAUGAGGAAGAUGAGGGAGGGAGGGUUGGAGUGAGGAAAGGUGAAGUUGUUCUUGUUCCUCUGUUGCACAACAUUGUUCUCAUCAUGUUUUGUC
rnacentral:lncRNA from 1 species